rnacentral:rRNA from 1 species
GUGAAAGCAGGGGACCGCAAGGCCUUGCGUCGAUGGAGCGGCCGAUGUCGGAUUAGCUAGUUGGUGAGGUAAAGGCUUACCAAGGCGACGAUCCGUAGCUGGUCUGAGAGGACGACCAGCCCACACUGGGACUGAGACACGGCCCAGACUCCUACGGGAGGCAGCAGUGGGGAAUCUUGGACAAUGGGCGCAAGCCUGAUCCAGCAAUGCCGCGUGUGGGAAGAAGGCCUUCGGGUUGUAAACCACUUUUGGCAGGAAAGAAAUCGUUCGUGCUAAUACCAUGGAUGGAUGACGGUACCUGCAGAAUAAGCACCGGCUAACUACGUG